ACGUAUUGCAGGCCGAAGAUUGCGAAAGAUUUGGGUGUGGACUACGCCGGGAUGUAGUGCGUUUGCGAUGUCCGGAUCAUCGUGUCCAGGAGCAGCUUUGUCAGCAGGAAAUGGCCUGGGUGAAUGCGUGCUAGUUAGUUUUUUUGAUACGUUUGUAUUCUAUCUGACCGAGAUGGUUUAUUGCGAACUGUAACUCCAUCUUUUCUUCA